rnacentral:lncRNA from 1 species
AGGAAGGCAAGUAUAACCCAUACAUUACCGGCCAGAGGCAGAGAGCAGUGCCUUGUGGAGCCAGGAAGGGCCUACUGAUGGUCACAAAAAUGUCUUUCCGCCUGGCGCCUGUGUGCUACUCUGACGGUGUUGUCUGAAUUAUGGACACAAGGCCCAAGUCUGCUUGAGUUUCCCUUGGAAAUUUUGGUUCUCAGGCAGAAGGGCUCAGGACAAACACCAGAGAACGUGGCAUGCCAAUUUAAGGAUUUAUUGCAUCUUAUAAUUCCACACUCAUUUGCACAUUCUGGCGAUGUCGUUCAUGGAGGUGAUGAUUACUGUGGGGGUUGGACUACGCACAGCCACUUUCCAAGAGCAAUGCAGAAUGGAGGUCUCUCAAGAUUGUACAGCUUAUUCCAAUGACUCCCUGGUGAUGACUCCAAGAUUCAUUACUAGCCAUUGCAGAGGCACCAGCACCCUGAGCAGCGCUGCCAAGCUCCUUCUGCCAGGACUAAACUCAGCAUCGCACCAACAAGCCACCGUCGCUUUGAACUGUCUGUGAGCGUCUGUGCUUGGUCUCCAUUUAUUUUGGCAGGUGUCAGAUAAGGUAAACUAUUAUAUGGCAAUGAAAAGAAAGACAAACCCAUGCUCCGUAAAUGAUGUUCAACUGUUGGGAUUAAUUUCUCAGCCGAACAGCAUCUUCAGCGUCUCUAAUACCAAAUGAUGCAUUACAAAAAACGAAACAGCCUUUCAGCCAUGUUCAUUAAGAAUCUUGUAAUUAAGAAGUUGCAAGAGAACACAGUGUCCCUCUCUCUGAUUACAGCCCAUGUUUAAAUAUGACAUCUAACAGUUAUAUUCUCUUAAUUCCUCAAAAUGAAGAAUAAAGUAAAAUCAAGACAGGUUAUACCUUUGGUGUUCUUUUUAUAAAUCAAGUCUUAUAAGGAAGAAAUUCCUCUAAAGCGUUUCAGAUUUGGCUCAGAUCAAAUAAAAAGGCAAACAUUACUGGGAAAAUUGCCAUUUGUCAACUGUUCCAUGUCAUAUCAUGUGAUGAUAGAGUUCUCUAAACAGCAAAUGUCAGAUGCUGACACUCUACCGUAUAAACUAAAACAAGGAGAAAAUCGAGCUUAAAUUAUCCAAAAAUAUUGGCAGCAGUACGUUUCUAGUUGAAUGGUGUUUGUGAUGACUAAUAUUUUCUUCCUAAGGUUCUAGCAUGCCUUCAUUUAUUUUCUAUAGGACAUCCCUGCGGGGAGAGACACAGAGAACACAAGAGAGUCGUUAUUUUUAAAGUUAACAAAGAAAAAAUGAUUUUGAAUCCUUGCUUAAUUAAAAAUGGAACAGUACAAGAGGGUGACUCACUUCUCCCGUAAGAAGCUGAAAAUUAAAAAUUAUGCAG